GAUGAACGCUCGCUACAGGCUUAACACAUGCAAGUCGAGGGGCAGCGGGAUUGAAGCUUGCUUCAAUUGCCGGCGACCGGCGCACGGGUGAGUAACGCGUAUCCAACCUUCCGUACACUCAGGGAUAGCCUUUCGAAAGAAAGAUUAAUACCUGAUGGUAUGAUGAGAUUGCAUGAUAUCAUCAUUAAAGAUUUAUCGGUGUACGAUGGGGAUGCGUUCCAUUAGGUAGUAGGCGGGGUAACGGCCCACCUAGCCAACGAUGGGUAGGGGUUCUGAGAGGAAGGUCCCCCACAUUGGAACUGAGACACGGUCCAAACUCCUACGGGAGGCAGCAGUGAGGAAUAUUGGUCAAUGGACGAGAGUCUGAACCAGCCAAGUAGCGUGAAGGAUGAAGGUCCUACGGAUUGUAAACUUCUUUUAGAAGGGAAUAAACCCUCCCACGUGUGGGAGCUUGUAUGUACCUUAUGAAUAAGCAUCGGCUAACUCCGUG
rnacentral:rRNA from 1 species